UAACAGUACAGAACAGGCAACAGAUCUGUGUCAGAUGUCAUCCAGUGUCUGUAAUGUAGAGCAUGGUAUGUCUCUGUGGUACACGGAUAAGGCAGAGUUUGGUCCAGGUACCAGACUCACUGUUCUAGAUCCAAACAUCAAAGUCACUGAACCCACAGUGAAAGUCCUAGCACCCUCCGCUAAGGAGUGUGAAGAUAGAAACAAGAAGAAGAAGAAGACCUAGUGUGUGUAGCCACCCGCUUCUACCCCGACCACGUCACGGUCUUCUGGCAAGUCAACAAUGUCAACAGAACUGAAGGUGCCGGGACCGACAACAGGGCCUUGUGGGAUAAAGAUGGUUUAUACAGUAUCACCAGCAGACUGAGAGUCCCAGCCAAUGAAUGGCACAAACCAGAGAACAGAUUCACCUGCAAUGUCAGCUUUUACAAUGGGACUGACAAUAUACAAGUGAAUGACACCAUUCGUGGAGAUCUCCAAGGUCAAAGUGGGGGAGAGAUAACGACAGAUUACUAUGUGAAGAGCACCCAGACUGCCAAGCUGGCCUACAGCAUCUUCAUCGCUAAGAGUACCUUCUAUGGCCUGGUCGUCAUGGUUAUGAUUUGGAAGUUCCAGGGCUCCUCAGAGAAACAGAUUUAACGGAAUACAAGCGGCCCAAGGAGGAUGUCCUGCAUGGGUGUUGAUUCUUCCAUGUGCUCAAGAACGGACUGGCAAAUGGGCAAUUCUGGCAAAUGCCAGAUGGACCAUUCAUCUUUAGCCCAGUGGGCCUGUCUAAAUGAUAUUAUGUUUUUAGCAAAAUAAUAAUAAUUUGUCUAGUAAAGAGGGUCUUAAAGAAAAACAUGGGCAGGUGUGUUAGAAAUGCCGGGCCGGUUUCUGGUCCCAGUUUGCCCCUGCGUGUAAUUGUAUUGUCCAUUGUGCUUAUUGUUGCCAGUAUCUCUUUAUUGCCCCGUCUAUGUGAAGAUGUGCUUUUAAGAAUCUCCUAUGAACAUGAACUUGCAAUUUAAAUGUAUAUUUGAAUAAAUUCAGCCAAAACAACCUUUCCAUUAA